GCCGCACAUUACCGAUUAUACGGGAAAUAUUAUCGAUAGUACUGCCUUGGAACUAUCUCGAUACAUACAUUUAUUUGUUAACUACGUAAGACAUUUUCGAGCUUAGGUUGAAAAGGCUCACAAUUUUCAAAAUGAAUUGGCUUGAGUGGUUUUAAAUCCAAAUCAAUAAUUGUUAAAAAUGAUAAUAUGCUUAUUAAAUACAAGCUUUGCUCAGAUCUACAGCUUACUAAAUAUUUGCAGAAACAAAGGUCUAUGCUUAGAGAAUAAUUGACAGCAUGCCUAAUAUCCAGGCUUUUACUUAAAGCAGUAUUGUAUCUUCUUAUUGAAGAAAAAGCUAUUAUAAAUAAUCAUUUCUUUGAACCAUAAGUGAUACAAAAAGUACAAAGAUUGAGAUUUCGUGUAUAGCAAAAAUAUUCUCUUGCAUAUUAAUUGUUUCUAACAUCAGGUUAUUAAUCAUUAUAACCUAAAUUUCACUUCGAAUCGAAAUGUUAUAUCAUUUAGCUCGACGAUAUUUAAGAAAAAGUACAUCGAUGAAAUUUCCCCUUUGUUCGUAAGUAGCACAAAAAAAGGGAAAUUUCCCUAACUUAACAACACUGUAUUUAAAUGUAAACAAAGUCGCAGAAGUGCAGAUAAACAACCAAAUGAAGCAAUUGCAUGCAACUGUUUUGUUCUACGUCUAAUCACAUAAGCAACCAACAGAUGUGAUAGCCGGCGCAACAGUUGGUUAUUUUAUCAGAGUCUGGAACGUUCUGCAGGGGAUUUGAUAAUAAGAUCCAGAUUUUAUUAAAAACCAAGUAUCAUCAUGGAAGUCUACAUUUGAAUGCCGCUCUUAAGUCAAAUACGUACAUGAUUGAAAUAUAAAAUUCUGUUAGAAAAAGCUAUUUUUCAUAAAAAUGUUUGGAAAUUGUUAAUGUUAAUGUAUACUAAAAGAAAGAUAGUUUAAUUAUCUUUUAAUCCAUAAUGAAUUAAAAAAAAAUUCAUUUAUUUUGUAAAUGCUUCAAGGCUAUAUUUAUUGUUUUAUGCAAGUCAAAAGUACAUGUCGAAAUACAAAAUGUUGUUAGCAUGGGCUUUGUUUUAUAAGCAUGUUUAAAAAUAUACAAUGUUAACGCAUAUGAAAAUGGAGAUAGUUCAA